AGUCGAACGGCAGCGCGGGGCAACCUGGCGGCGAGUGGCGAACGGGUGAGUAAUAUAUUGGAACGUACCCAAGAGUGGGGGAUAACGUAGCGAAAGUUACGCUAAUACCGCAUACGAUCUAAGGAUGAAAGUGGGGGAUCGCAAGACCUCAUGCUCCUGGAGCGGCCGAUAUCUGAUCAGCUAGUUGGUGAGGUAAAGGCUCACCAAGGCGACGAUCAGUAGCUGGUCUGAGAGGACGACCAGCCACACUGGAACUGAGACACGGUCCAGACUCCUACGGGAGGCAGCAGUGGGGAAUUUUGGACAAUGGGCGCAAGCCUGAUCCAGCAAUGCCGCGUGAGUGAAGAAGGCCUUCGGGUUGUAAAGCUCUUUUGUCAGGGAAGAAACGGCCUGGGUUAAUACCUUGGGCUAAUGACGGUACCUGAAGAAUAAGCACCGGCUAACUACGUGCCAGCAGCCGCGGUAAUACGUAGGGUGCAAGCGUUAAUCGGAAUUACUGGGCGUAAAGCGUGCGCAGGCGGUUUUGUAAGUCUGUCGUGAAAGCCCCGGGCUCAACCUGGGAAUUGCGAUGGAGACUGCAAGGCUUGAAUCUGGCAGAGGGGGGUAGAAUUCCACGUGUAGCAGUGAAAUGCGUAGAGAUGUGGAGGAACACCGAUGGCGAAGGCAGCCCCCUGGGUCAAGAUUGACGCUCAUGCACGAAAGCGUGGGGAGCAAACAGGAUUAGAUACCCUGGUAGUCCACGCCCUAAACGAUGUCUACUAGUUGUCGGGUUUUAAUUAACUUGGUAACGCAGCUAACGCGUGAAGUAGACCGCCUGGGGAGUACGGUCGCAAGAUUAAAACUCAAAGGAAUUGAC
rnacentral:rRNA from 1 species